ACCGAGUAUCUUCGUUCGGUGAAAGAAACACCUCAUCGUCCAUCAGACGGGCUUUCAAAUACCGAGUCUUCGGAUGGGUUGAAUAAGCUACUUGCUCAUCUGCUUAUGCUUUCUAAGAGGUGUCCCUUCAAAGAUGUGAGAGAGAAAAGUGAGUUUAUUCUGAAGAGCAUCCAGUGUACUCAAAGUGAAGACCGUAAGAAUGAAGAUCUUCAUGAUUAUCCACGUCCACUUAAUGAAUGCAUAGCAAAUGAUGUCUCCAUUCCUACAGCAUGCUAUUCCAGGCACCAUGUGCAGACAUGACUAUCUGCAGCUAAGAAGAAAAGAGUUUCUUCCCACGUCUCUCUCUCGGGGAAGAAAACCUUUCCCAGAAACCCUCUAGCA
rnacentral:lncRNA from 1 species